AGUGAACGCUGGCGGUAGGCCUAACACAUGCAAGUCGAACGGCAGCACAGUAAGAGCUUGCUCUUACGGGUGGCGAGUGGCGGACGGGUGAGGAAUACAUCGGAAUCUACUUUUUCGUGGGGGAUAACGUAGGGAAACUUACGCUAAUACCGCAUACGACCUACGGGUGAAAGCAGGGGAUCUUCGGACCUUGCGCGAUUGAAUGAGCCGAUGUCGGAUUAGCUAGUUGGCGGGGUAAAGGCCCACCAAGGCGACGAUCCGUAGCUGGUCUGAGAGGAUGAUCAGCCACACUGGAACUGAGACACGGUCCAGACUCCUACGGGAGGCAGCAGUGGGGAAUAUUGGACAAUGGGCGCAAGCCUGAUCCAGCCAUACCGCGUGGGUGCAGAAGGCCUUCGGGUUGUAAAGCCGUUUUGUUGGGAAAGAAAAGCAGCAGGUUAAUACCCCGCUGUUCUGACGGUACCCAAAGAAUAAGCACCGGCUAACUUCGUG
rnacentral:rRNA from 1 species